CGGGACGGGUGAGUAACGCGUGGAUAACCUGCCUCACACUGGGGGAUAACAGUUAGAAAUGGCUGCCAAUACCGCAUAAGCGCACAGUACCGCAUGGUACGGUGUGAAAAACCCAGGUGGUGUGAGAUGGAUCCGCGUCUGAUUAGCCAGUUGGCGGGGUAACGGCCCACCAAAGCGACGAUCAGUAGCCGACCUGAGAGGGUGACCGGCCACAUUGGGACUGAGACACGGCCCAA
rnacentral:rRNA from 1 species